CCUCUCCACCCACCCUACUCUUAAGAGCACACAGGCCCUGCAACCAAACCCCGGGGCAGCUUGUCCUCUCCCCUAAAGCUAAUUUCCUUACCCCCAUGGGCGGAAUGUGGACUGGGUGGUUUUUCUGGCAGAUUGCUCCAGAUUCACAGCAGACCCACGCUUCACUCUCACCAGGCCCUGGACAGGUGUGAAAGGGCUUAUCCGGUGGGGCUCCGGGUGGCAGCAGGACCUAACAAGCCGGGAGGCAGCAGGACCUAACAAGCUGGGAGGCAGCAGGCCAGGAGUCCAGUGGAGGGGCAGUGCCUGCGGGCAGAGCGAGCAGACCGAGUCCCGAGCCCCAGGACCUGGAGCUUAGCUUGGGUCUCGGGGCAGAGGCUGCUUUUCUCCCCUCUCUGCCUUGGUGUAUCGGGCCUGGGGAAGCUCUGGGCAAGAACAGAGGCAGCACAGCAGCCCUGCCCCCAGGUGAGGGUUAGCUGCUGGGGGAGGGCUGGUCCGGGAAAUUGUGAAGGAAUUCUUUGAUGCCUUCCUCCAAGGUUUAGGAAUGACAAAUGGAGCCUUAGGACAACGCUGGCCCGACAGAAGUUUGCUAAACCUGGUCUUCCCUCUCCCGUCUGCUCUCUCUGACUCAGCUCCAGCUCCUCUCUCCUUCUGGCCCCCGAACUCAGCCUUCCCUUCCCUCGGGGCCUUGAGACAAGCUACCUGGCUGUGGCAAUGACCGUUUAAGGAGUGACCCCUACAAGGCAUUUCUGUUUCAACGGCUGACUCUUGAGCCGUAACCCCCAAAAGUGUGGAUGGCAGUGCCGAGACUGGCGGUUAGGGGGUGCUAUCACUCAGAUGGGGCCUGCCCUGAAUAUUAGCCCUUGAUUUGCCACCCCGCUCCCUGCCUGACCCCAGCAGGUUCCCCGCCACCCAAACCCUCCAGCGUCUGAGAAACACAACUUGCCCUGGUCACCCAUCCCCCCACACACACACAGACAGUGCUGACCUUCAGGGUAACAUUGAAACCUCUUCACUGUAAGGUGUGUGUGGAAAAGAAACUGAGCAUCUGAAACCCCAGCUCCUGCACUCCACCCAUUGCCCAAGCGGCCGCCCACAGCAGUUACAAAGAGACACACGUCCACUGGCUGCAUCCAGACUUCGAACAGUUCCUUGAAUCUUGGCCUGCCUUCCAGCCGUGAAUCCUGAAGCAGCUCAAGCAUUCUGUCUGGGGCCACACCCUCCCUUCCUUGGCAGGGUCUCCACUCCCCCAACUUCCACAGGCCCCUCAGCCUCCCCACACGGGGGUUUUAUUGACAGUCACUCGACAGUGGACAAGGCCCUUGACAAAGGAGACCAGGAUGGCCCAUCGGCCUCGCUCUCCUGAAAGAGGAUUGAGGAAGCCAGAGUGUUUCCGUCAAUGUUUUCCCAACUCAAGCCCGGACUAACCGUGUGGCUGAGGAAGGGCGUUUGGGGUGGUUUUGCACUGCAUUGGAAAGGGAAGACCAGGGCCCAUGACAGCAGGGAGAGGCUCCCUCCCGCCCUUGAAGACCUGCAGGGCCGAGGACAGGAGGACUGGGUGCUUCGGAGGGAGCACGGACUUGGCCUCUUUGUGUUUUUUAAUGCUGAAGGAACAGUGAUUUGUUCUGAAGCUGCUUCCAAGUAUCCAUGAAUCACACCGUCAUCUGGUGAUGGGAAAAGUGGUUUUCCAUAUGGAAAAAGGAGAAAAUUGGUCCCCCACCUCAAACCACACAUACAAAUUAAUGCCAGGUAUCCAACAAGCACAUCCAUUGUCAGAGCAGGAUUCUAGACUCUGCAUGGUUUGAAUCCUGGCGCCCCUCUCACUGGCUGUGGGACUUGGAGCAAGUUACUUCUUAACGGCUCUGCCUCAGUUUCCUCAUCUAUAAAACGGAAAGGAUAGAGCUCAUACAAGGUUUAAAGUAGUUAAUAUCUUCAAGUGUUUAUAACUUGGUAAGCACAAUUUAACUGCUUGUUAAAUCAAAAUGUAAAAAGCUAAAUCCAAUACUUUUAGAAGACAAUAUGGGAGAAUGUCUUUCUGACCUCAAGGUGGGGAA
ensembl:lncRNA